rnacentral:lncRNA from 1 species
AUGAGCUCAGAAACAAGAAGACGACUGCGCUUCGUCUCCUGGAACACCCGGGGUAUUAAGGACACUGUAGAUGUACCCAACAAGAUUUCAGAUUUGUUGAAAGAGCUUAACAAUGUUCGAGCUGAAAUUGUCUUCAUACAAGAGACUCAUGUUGGGCCAAAGUCCCAUAAAAAUGUCCCAUGUACAUUUAAAGGCUGGGAAGUCUUCUUCACUGUUUACAGCCCUCGAAGCAAAGGAGUUGCAAUUCUAAUCAGAAAUGGUGUUAAGUUUGAGUACAUAUGUCAUGAUGAAGAUCACAGUGGGAGUUACAUUGUGCUCUUCUGUCGUCUGUAUGGAGAACUCUACACUCUUGUAAAUGUGUACCAUCAUAAGAAAGAGAGAACUCUCCUGGGUAGACUGAAAGAAUACUUGCAGGAAACAGCUGAGGGGGUUCUGGUGGUCGGAGGGGAUUUUAAUGCAGUUUUGGAUCCGAACUUUGAUAGGUUAUCUUCAGCAAGUCAUGUCGGCCAAUCAGCACUAAGACACAUUUUAGAAGAUUUUACCUCAUCUCUAAAUCUCAGAGACAUCUGGGCAGAACUACAUCAUACAGACAUAGACUUCACGCGUCGUGAAGGGGGCAGUAACUCCAGAUUAGACAUGUUCUUCAUGCCAGAGGACACAAGAGAACGAGUCCAAAGUUGCAAAAUCUACAAAACAAGCCAAAUCUCUGAUCAUGAUCCUGUUGUCCUGACACUCCUGAGAAUUCAGCAGCAGACUGAUAAUAAAAUUCCAAAGGUUGCCUCAAUGUUGUUGGAAUUUGGAUACGAUGGAAAGCCACACCGGAAACCAGAGAACAUCAGUGGGGCAGAAAUACUGAGUGCCAUCAAGUCUUUCACUGAAUCUGGAAUAAUACGUCCAGACGAGUUGACAGUAGAUGAUUACAAACUAUUUCGCUGUCCAAUGACAGAGAUCUUAAAGAUAAACUACAAUCUGAUGUUAAAAAGUAAAUUUGUCCCUUCACUCUUCAAACAAACUAUCCGUACACAAAAUCAACGCACCUUUAAUGUUGACUAUUUAAUAUUCUCUCUAAUUCUGGCCAAAGUGUUCAUUACCCCGUCUUUUAAGAGACAGAAAAAAACCAACCUUGACCUCAGUCUCUGGGUGAAUUUUGCUGGAUACCCAAAGAAAAUCAAAAUAAAGUGGUCUUUCUUAGAGAGAUGCCUCACGAGUCUUAAAAACAUCUCUCCCACUCCUCCACGUGACUUCAGGAUUCUGGAGAGUCUUCUACCUGAAGAUUCUUCUGGGGAAUUCAGAUAUUUACAGCAAGGCUUUUAUCUCACCAAUCCCAUCCUCACCCUGGUUCUGAUGCAGCUGAAAAAACAGAUUGUCAGAAAGUAUGACAUGGCCAGUGUCUGCCAUUUCAGAAAAGCUUUGUUCAUACAGACAGAAGGAAACAGAUUUAACAAAAUUCUUGCCCUGGUAACACAAUUCAGGAGAGAUUGUGGAAUUAAACUACAAAUAACACUAAAAAACGGAAUCUAUGCAUAA